AAUGAACGCUGGCGGUAGGCCUAACACAUGCAAGUCGAACGGCAGCGCAGUAAGAGCUUGCUCUUACGGUUGGCGAGUGGCGGACGGGUGAGGAAUACAUCGGCCUCUACUUUUUCGUGGGGGAUAACGUCGGGAAACAUACGCUAAUACCACCUACGACCUACGGGUGAAAGCAGGGGUUCUUCGGACCUUGCGCGAUUGAAUGAGCCGAUGUCGGAUUAGCUAGUUGGCGGGGUACCGGCCCAGCAAGGCGACGAUCCGUAGCUGGUCUGAGAGGAUGUUGCGCCACAGUGGAACUGAGACACGGUCCAGACUCCGACGGGAGGCAGCAGUGGGGAAUAGUGGACGAUGGGCGGAAGCCUGAUCCAGCCGUACCGGGUUGGUGAAGAAGGGCUUCGGGUUGUAAAGCCGUUUUGUGGGUAAAGAAAAGCAGCAGGUUAAUACCACGCUGUUCUGACGGUACCCAAAGAAGAAGCACCGGCUAACUUCGUG
rnacentral:rRNA from 1 species